UUUCUUUUCUUCUUCUCUCUAUACGUUGGUGUUCUAACCAAUAAUCACCAAAGCGAUAUUCUGUCCGAUCGAUUCAGGAACCAUCUAACGAAUGCCAAAGUGUUCUACUUUGUGAAUUUCGUUUAACGGAAUCCAAAGUACUAUACUUUGUGAGUUCAUUAAAUGGAUACCAAAGUACUGUCUGAAUAAGACUAUACUUUGUGAAAUUCGUUAAGGUUCGAAUCUCCUGAUCAUCGUUAGGUUUGAUAUGGUUUUACACAAAUACGUAUUCCAUUCUGUUAAACUAUAUGUUUAACCAUCCGAAUACUCCCAACUAUAUUCUUACAAUCAAAAUGGAUGCUUAAUCAUCAGAAGAUCCAAAAUAAUAAAGUAUAUGCUUAACUAUCAAGAAGGAGUAGAAUCAAGAAGCCUGUUAAAUCAAUACUGCAUGCUUGUACUGGAUUAAGUCUUUGUAAUCACCAAAUUACAGCCGGUAUGUGGGGUAUUGUGCACAAUAUUAAUUUCUCACGGGGUUAGGCAAAUAAGCCCUAACAUAGGUUAGGCAAAUAAGCCCUAACAGUGAAGUAUCACAGGGUUAGGCUAAUAAGCCCUAACACAGGUUAGGCAAAUAAGCCCUAACAGUGAUAUACGUCAUUCGUUGGGGCAGCCAAUGGUGAUAUGACCACAGUCACAGAUCCGGUCGAGUGACAAAUACUGUGGGUAGUUGGUUUGAUAUCAGAAACAUUGUAAUCGCUCUUAAUACUGUAAAUUAUAACAAAUGCGUCGUUUUAGUAAAAUGAAUGAUUCACUCAGUAUUUCCCCGCUGACAAAACCUUUUUAAAACGCGUUUCAGGUAAUUACAGUAUAUUGGAGUAAGGAUUGGAUCCGGCACUGAAGGACUUCAAGAAGUGGCUUAUUUUAUUAAUUAAAUCAAAUUAAGAAAUAUUGUUUUAUAUAAUCAAAUUUAUCUAUAUUAAAGCUACCAUUAUAAAACAUGGGUUUCAUCCCAUCUAUUUUAUAAAUAAAAUCCGGUGUUUUUAAACUCUGAUAAUUU
rnacentral:lncRNA from 1 species